CGCGUGAACGAAGGUUGGGUUUUGCAGGUGGCUGUUCUUACCUCUUCUCGGAGUUGAAAUCAAGGCCAUUUCACCUGGGUUAGGGUGGUGGGUAAGACAUUAAGUAAUAUGAACACGUUGAGGCUUCAGUUUCCCCGCUACUACCUCCACCUUGCUCCCUUGGAGUAUUCUAAUGAUUGAGGAACUCGAAGUUAGAGCGAGAGACGCGCACUUCACUAAGGAGUUUCACUUUGAGAAAUUUAACCUAACACGCUGUGUGGACUGAGGAGAGAAGACAUUCCCUGAGGAGAAACGACUUAGCGAGGAGAGAGUCAGGCAGUCAGGAAGCCUCAAAAUACUGGUUUGUUAAGUCUCUGCUUGAACGCUGUGGAUGCAUCAUGCAAUUCCCCUUGAGGGAUGACUGUAACAGCUACCCUUUAGGGGGCUUUCGAUAUUGUCAAAUAGCCUCCAGCCAAAGACCAGCGCGAACAUCACUACAGUUUAACAAAGUUGGGCUUGCCGUCUCCUUUCAAAGAGGGAGGAACACCAUAAGAACAGGGCAACACCUCAAGAAGAAGAUACAGAAGCCAAGUUACGGAGUCCACAAAAAAUAGUGAGAAAUCCAGAACCAAACUAUUGGAAUCUUCACUCUAGGCCAUUCUUGAUGCUCAGCACAACCCCAGAUCUCCAGCUGCUCAACAAAACAGGAGAAACUGUGUGGAUCCCAGCUAAGAAGAUAAAACCCAAAAAAUGAAUAAAAGGCCUCGAUUUAAUGUUGAACCUCCAGCUGAUGAGAUGCAAGCCAUGAUUAUUAGAAGAUCCAGAGUUUGAGUUUCAUUACCAAGAAGUAGGUGAAUCCCCCAACAUGGGGACAAUUUAAAAAGAUGACACAGGAAGCUGAAAAAAUUAUACAACAGACCAGACAAGCACGCAACGCUUCAGAUUUAUUCCUGGCUAUGUUUGCUGUGGUCACCAUAGGGGUAAGUUCUGCUAAUGGCAUUAAUCAUUCAUAUUGGGCUUACAUUCCUAACCACCUGAUCAAUCAAGUUAUUCGUCGGCUCUCUGAGACGGUCCCAAUAUAUGUUAAUGAUUCCAACUGGACUCCUGGUCCUAAUGAUACUCGUGGCCCAUUAAAGCCAGGAGAAGAGGGCAUGAAAAUUGAGAAUUAUACCGUGGGAGUAGAGGGGAUACCUAUUUGUAUUGGACAAUGAAACCAUUGCUUAAAAAUAACAACCAGCUACAUGGCUGUCCAUUGUCAAAAAUAAUACCAAUAAAAAAAUUGUUCCUUCUUCAAGCAUUUGGAUUCCACAAAAAAGAUAAUACAAAAGACACAACAGAUCAUCCCUCUGAUUUGGCCAUCUGCACCCAGCCAAUAACUAUGAAAAUCAGUGAAUGGGUGCACUGGACGAAUUGUCAAGGAGAACUAGGUCGGGUUUUACUUAAUACUUCCUGUGGAAGCAUCACUGAUUGGAACCCUCAAGGUUCCACCUGGACCAAAAGACAGGGGCAUGACUUGAAAUGGCAUAAAUAUAUUAAUGUCAUUAAUUACACCAUUGUCACUUCUUCUAAUGAGACCCUUUAUUGGCAUGGAGGUGGGAUGUCUCCUCCUGCCCCUCAUUUACCUUUUAGGCCCCUGCAGUAUCACUUAAGGAAAAUUCCCUCAGCUUUUCGGAGUCUGAUAGCUUGGAAAGACCAUAUUUAGAAUGAUAGCCUUACAAAAAGUAGUCAAUUAAGUUUUACAAAAACUGAGAGUCAUUAUAUUAUAGCCUGUGUCAGAUUGCCUUUUAUAUUAUGAUUGGUCACAUAGCGUGGAGUUCAUCUGGAUAUUCCAUCUCCUGUGCAAAUUGUUCAUUCUAUAUUUGUAUUAAUAACUCUGUUCCUUUUUCCACAAAAGAUAAUCUUUAUAUUCUUAAGGCUAGAACAGGUCUCUGGUUUCCAGUUCAACUACACCGAAAGUGGCAAGAUUCUCCAUGCAUCAUGUUUCUCCAAUAUACUAUUGAUAAAUCUUCUGAAGAGAACUAAAUGAAUGAUUAGAUUAAUCAUUGCAGCUGUCCUGGGGAUCAUAGCCAUAAUUGCAACUGCUACAGCCGCUGGGGUCGCGCUUCAACAAAGCAUUCAGACUGUUGACUUUGUUAAUAAUUGGCAUUCUAAUUCGUCAAAAUUGUGGAUCACCUAAAGACGGAUAGAUAGUGAAAUUAAUGCACAAUUGACUGAUUUGCAACAAGCAGUUAUUAUGCUAGGAGAUCAAAUUGUUAGUUUGCAACGUCAAAUUUCUAUGAAAUGCAAUUGGAAUACAACUGGAUUUUGUGUUACUCCUAUACCUUAUAAUCAUACUUAUGUUCCCUGGGAUAAUGUUAAAAAACAUGUUAAAUCAUGGUAAUAUGACUCAAGAAAUAUUAGAACUUCAACAGCACAUUACUGAUAAUUUCCAGAAACAAUUACAAGUAUUAAGUGGUUCUAAUCUAUUGGAAAGCAUUGCAGAUGGAAUAAAUAAUCUGGACCUGAUAAAACACUUAAAAAUUUUUAGUGGUUCCACUACUACACUUACAAAUAAUUGUAUUAUAUUUGUUAUUUGUAUUUUAUAUAGUCUGGAGAAGAGCUACCCGAAAACGUCAACAUGCUCAACAGCAAUCAGCAGUCUUCUCAUUAAUGUUACAAAAGGUGCAAGUGAAACAAAAAGGGGGAAAUGUAGACACCCCAGCAAUUAACUUUGCUGUAGUUUAGUUCUGGUUAAGCUUGAUUUAUAACUAAAACUAAUCUAAGAGAAAAGAACAAUACGUUUAUUGCUUAAGUUUGAUUAAUAGCUGAAACUAACCUAAUAGAAAGAACAAAGUGUUAAUUCCUGGAAUCUGGUGUGAGUUAUGGACAGUGUGGAACAGGAGCUGCAAACAGUUCCUGUGAUCCUUUCUGCAGCAAACCCAGACAAGGAACAUGCUGUGAAACUCACUAACCGGAUGACUUGACUUAA